rnacentral:rRNA from 1 species
GGGCCCGCACAAGCGGUGGAGCAUGUGGUUUAAUUCGAUGAUACGCGAGGAACCUUACCAGGGCUUAAAUGUAGUGGGACAGGUCUAGAGAUAGACCCUUCUUCGGACUCAUUACAAGGUGCUGCAUGGUUGUCGUCAGCUCGUGCCGUGAGGUGUCAGGUUAAGUCCUAUAACGAGCGCAACCCCUAUCGUUAGUUGCCAGCGAGUAAUGUCGGGAACUCUAACGAAACUGCCGGUGCAAACCGAGAGGAAGGUGGGGAUGACGUCAAAUCAUCACGGCCCUUACGUCCUGGGCUACACACGUGCUACAAUGGCCGGUACAGAGAGCAGCCACUACGCGAGUAGGAGCGAAUCUUCAAAGCCGAUCACAGUUCGGAUCGGAGUCUGCAACUCGACUCCGUGAAGCUGGAAUC